rnacentral:lncRNA from 1 species
CAUAGUGUUAAACAACUAUGUCCCAUUUUGGGAGCUGCUGCAGCCAUUUUUCUGCCACAAGCAAAUGCUAAACCUUCGAAGCAGCACCACACAGUUCCUGGGUUAUAAAGGCUUUGUUCCUCAGAUGCUCAGGUCCCCAGAAGGUCAGCUCUCUGGGGCAGGCCAAGCCUGUAGUGUUCACUGGCUUCUCCACAAGCUUAUGAAUAAAGCGGAAACUGUGAACUGUUCAAAAAAGAAAAUAGGUGAUUUGAGAAGUAGGGGAGCUACAACAAGUUAGUAAAGGAAAACAGUAAUAUUCGGGAACAUCUGCCUUCCAGCAGAAUAUUCUUUGUGUUUCUAAUAAAACCAGGAAGCCAAGUGGAUGGAAGAAUUGAUUUGAGAUGUGUGAUGCCGAUCCUUGUGUUAUGUUGGCACAAAUAUGGGCAAUUAGGACACACCUUCACACAACAGUGGGGCAAGAAAGUGAAAUAAGGAAUAGAGGGAUAUCUAGCGAUAAUAGGGUUGAUUAUGUGACAGCCACAUUUAUGGAGAAGCAAAGAGGAAGGAAUUUGGCAUCAAUUAACAGACUUCCUGAGUUCAAACCUGACUCCCUUACUUGCUUAACUUAUCUAAGCGUCAGUUUCCCCAUCUGUGAAAUGAAGAGAGUAAUAUCAUAGGGUCUUUUUGGAGGCACCAAUAAAAUAAAACCUGUAAG